CUUUAAGUGGUCUUAAAAACAACACUGCCUUUGGAUUUGUCAGUGCUGCUCCUAAUGUGACUAAUGUCCUGUUCUCCUCUUCCUCUCUGUCUUCCUCUUCUUCUUCUCCCUGUAUCUACUUCUCAGUAGUACCACUGCAACCUAAUAUCCCCACCGUGCCUCCUCCUCCACCUCCUCCUCCACCUCCUCCUCCUCUUCCUCCUGUCUCUCAGGCACCUCCCCCUCCUCCUCCUCUAAGCAACGGAUUUCACUUCUCGUUUGUCUAAUCAGAGAAAACAAACCAAUGUGCUUUCUGGACACUGAGGUGCUGUUCCAUGAUGACAAUACAACCUGGAUUCUUGAGGAAAGAAAGACUUUGUUUGGUGCUGACGGUUACACUGUUAUACAGUAGAUGAGUGUUAGUGAACAUUUAACCUGCCCUCAGUAGCACGCAGCAGGACUUACUCGCUGAUGCAUUUUUAGGAGCUAAAAAUGAAGUAACUAUUUUCUUAAGAAAAUGUGUGUCUGCCGUGAAAGCUGCUGUGCAUAUUAACUUUGGAAGUGUCUAGCAGAUGUUAAUCCCAUAAUAGAAAAGGUUUUAUACAUGUUAUUGUACUUUUAGCAUUAUACUGUAUCAUAGUGAAGAACUGAAAGAGAUAUUUUCAAGGUGAGAAGGUUUUGUCUUGCUGUGUGAUCUGAAUUUGGAGGGAACUUGUAUUUGUUUUUUUAAAGUUAAUGAGAGUAUUCACCAACUGGAAGGUCGAUAUGAACAUGAUAAGGUACUGAACAUGUGUCAUGUUGAUUGUAUUUUUGUCAAAACUCAGAUGAUAUUCUUACACCAAAUCACUUGAAAUGUAAUUUGUGUUUGUAUCUAGCACUGCCAGUCUCUUAAGGGCUUGCCAAAUGGAUUUUUAUUUUUGCUUACAACAUUGGGAGGAAAAUAACAUUGAACAUAGUAUUUUCUGGAUGGCUUGGGCAGGUUGCACAAUGAUAAUUAUUACAAAUGUAAAUAUUAAAGAUAUUAACAUGACAUUUGCCUUAUCAAAUGUUUUGUCUUCAGACAACAGACUCAUGCAGUAGUCAUUAUAACCGUUAUAAAAUGAUAAUGAUAUACUGAGGUAUUCAGAGAAUGUGAACCCCCAAAACUCUUUGGUCUUAUAGCCUAUUGUACUGUAUUGAAUUUAAAUCAUAUGUUAUUGCGUCAGUUUAAUAAUUGUACUACUCUGUGGAUGACAGUUGAAUAAUAUGGUUGACUGUGUUGGAAUCUUCAAAACCCUUUAUCUUGUGCCAGUUCUGAUAACCUUCUCUUCAUGCUGACCAAAAAGUACAAAAUGUAGCCUCAUCACAGCUCCAAGGAUUCUCUUUGAACAUUCCUAUUGAUUGCUUUGCCCUGUUACAUUUCAUUCUAUUAUCUGAGAAGGGAAUCCAACUUUACAGGCUCAAACCAAAUGAGGCGAACUUUCAAUACAAAAAAACAUGAAAUGUUUCUUUAGUUCAAAGCUUCUCCUUCUUAAAGGGUAUUUUCUAUUCCGUGUCUCUACAUUUUCAACUGGGAAGGUGGGUAGUAAUAGCAUUGGUGUAUCUGAAGCAUAGAAUUUAUAUCUUUAAAUCAAAGAUCUUUUACUUUGUAAAAUAAACCUCUUGAGACGAACAUGGCAUUGAACUUAUGAAUCAAAGCUGAUGGAAUUAUGAAUCUAAGCUUUUUGUAACUUACUUUUUCACAUGUUCUGUAAAUGGAAGGUCAGCUAUAUAAAAGUCAUGACUAGAACCAAUUGCAAUUGUUCUGUCAGUCCUAUACAUAAUUCUACAGUUCUAACAUAUUCGCUAAGCAUGUACUGGUAUCUUGCUUAUAGGCUAUGCUCCUUUGGCUGGUGGUCCAGUAGACUGCUCUCACCUCCCUUGUGAGAUCUUUAUCUUUAAUUGGAGAGUAAUUACAUACACUUGUCUGCAUCAUGGUACUCUUUGAAAACACCUGUGAGAGGGGAUGCACCUCCCAGAGCUCCACAGUGGGAUCUGCCACAUCUCCUCUCUCUCCAUGCCAUCUCGAGGAGUGGGAGUGUGGGCCCCAGAGUGCCUGCUAGUCCUGGUGGGUAUAAGACCCAUCACAUCCGCUAUUCUGCUUAUUUUGCAAUAAAUGGGCUGUUUUUUUCCUCCUCCUGCAGAAAUUCACCCAAGACCAUCCACUGAGGAUUGUGGCAUUUCCAUGUAUUGACGUUUGGCUGCUGGUUCAUAUACAUUUGUUAUGCUAUACUCUGGACUUCAAAGAGAAUGAAAUAGGGCCUAUUAUGCUAAUUCUGUCUUGUUCUGUUCAACGUAAUCAAGGCCUCACACAUUAAUCCUUUACAAAAUGUUCCUCACUGACUCUUGGAAAAGGUUUUCAAAUGUACAUGAAUAGAAAAAGGAAUUCCUGACUUUCCCAGAUGACUCCAAAAUCCCGUAAUUGAGCACUUGGGGGGAGACAACCUUUAGUCAUUUUGAAACUAUAAAUGAUUAGAGAAUUUGAUAUGAAAUCCAGAGUAAACAAUUGUGAAAAACAGUGAAGGUUUCUCUUCCCACAUGAUUGUAACAGGGUGGAACUGUUUGUUGGUAGACAUGCCCCAUGUUAACCCUUGCCAGUCCCAGGUAUAGCAUGUUUCAAUAAAGGGCAUGGCCCUGGGUAUUUAAGCUUGACUUUUUGUGUCAUUCACAAUAUUCCAUGACCACUAGAAGGCUGACGUGUGCAGGGAGGAUGGUCUAGUAGUGAAAGUCCAGUCAGUGUCUCUAUUAGACACCAUAAGAAUCCUGACUGGACUCUGACUGGACAUGAGCUGAACCAAAGGAUCCAACACAAAAGGUACUUUGAUUCCAAAAUGGUCUUUUAUGCUCUUUUAUCAUCUCAAGAUCAAUAUACAUGCUUUAAUAAGGGAUGGGCUGGUGUUCAAUUAUUGAACAGUUAAGAAUAAUUGAAUAUUCUCUCCCAACACACUGUACAUGCCUACAUAAAAUGAAAAUAAUAAAAUAAACCUGUAACUUUUUAAGACUGAUAUUUAAUAGUAUAUUCAUUGUCUCAUUCUCGCUCAGUUUAUUGCAAUACAACUUAUUCAAUGGUUAACUUAUUCAAUGGUUAUUCAAUGCUUCAGCACACCCCUAGACUUUUUCCACAUUUUGAUGUGUUACAAGCUAAAUUUAAAAUUGAUUCAAUUGAGAUUUGUUGUCACUGGCCUAUAAUGUAAAAGUGGAAUUAUGUUUUUAAACAUGUUUACAAAUAAAGGAAAAGCUGAA
ensembl:lncRNA